rnacentral:lncRNA from 12 species
GGGGGGGGGGGGGGGGGGGGGGGGGGGGGGGGGGGGGGGGGGGGGGGGAAGCCAUAUCCCCGAGCCACAUCCCUAAGCCACAUCCCUAAGCCACAUCCUCGAGCCACAUCCUUGAACCACAUCCCUGAGCCACAUCCCUGAGCCCUCACUGUGCAGCAGAAGCCACAUCCCCGAACCACAUCCUUGAACCACAUCCCUGAGCCACAUCCCUGAGCCCUCACUGUGCAGCAGUCCUCAGCCCCUCAGGCUCCACAUUUGUUCCCAUGUGGUAGAGCACAGUCAGCCCUAAAACACCUGCCAUCAGCAUUCUUGUUUGUAGGCUGUGAACCUGCCAAAGCAAGCUGCCACCCAUACAGCAACAGCAAAUUGUUCUGGAGGCCGUGGAAUCUAAAGUGACUGGCUGCAUUCCCACCUUCCCCAAAUAGCCUGUGCCCAGGAAAUGCUCCCGAAGUCCCACCCUGUCCCAUACCAUUGAACUGCCCUGCAUAAGACACAGAGCACACCCCGCCUUGUUUCAGGCCGAGUGCAAGGUUCUCAAGCUACAUGUGCAGAACAAUUCACUUUCAGGCAUUGGAUUGUGUGUUUCUACUUCACUUGAAUGGAUGUAAUGUCUGUGAGAUGUCUAUUUUCCAUCAGAUUUGGCUGAAAUUGAAAAACAGGAUCAAAGACAAUGGGAUGAGCAAACAGAGGAACAGACAGCAUAACUACAUAUGCCUUGCUUUCCUAGAAAGUCAACUAAAGAUAUUAAAAGACUUUUGAAGACUUCUGAAUGUGGCUGCAAAGGAAUAGUAGCACCAAUGCCAGCGGAAUGCAGCAGGUGACAGGAGACACAGAGGCAGCAGCACCAACCCCCAACGAGCCAGAUCCUGACACCACGGGGCCAGAGUCACACCCAGCGAUGCCCGUGAUUUCUGUCUGCCGUCAGAACUGCUUCGUCCGCUCCUACCUUCCCAGGAGGGGCUUGUCACCAGCUUCCCUUUGUCUUUCAAACCACAUUUCCGGCUCUGGGGGGCCGCCCAUCCUCGAGGGGAGGACACUGCACCGUUUAACCUUUUUUUUCCUGGAAGGCCGGCGAGAUUUAGCAAUUUUGUAUUUACUGGUUAUUGCCGUUUAACCUUUUAUUUCCUGGAGGGCCGGUGAGAUUUAGCAAUUUUGUAUUUACUGGUUAUUCACUGGGUUUUUUUGCCUGUUGCUGUUUCUCACGUUAGUAAACUGUUAUAUUUUCUAACAUCUACUAUUUACACCUACUCAUAUUCGUUUCUCCUUAUGAUGGAAAGUGUGAAAAACAAAACUCACACUUUAGAAUUUUAUAAGUUUAAUAAGAGACAAAU